rnacentral:rRNA from 1 species
UGGUGGAGUGAUUUGUCUGGUUAAUUCCGUUAACGAACGAGACCCCAGCCUACUAAUUAGAGCUGCGAAUCCGUACAAAAUGGGGCUGCUGCCAGCUUAGCGACGGUGCUCCGGUGCUGUUGCGGUUGGUUAGUGGCGCUGUUCAGAUUCGACAGCUACUUCUUAGAGGGACUAUUCGUAUCAAGCGAAAGGAAGUAUGAGUCUAAAACA